rnacentral:rRNA from 1 species
ACGACGCUGGCGGCGUGCCUAACACAUGCAAGUCGACGAUACUUAUUCAGCAAUGGAUAAGUAGAGUGGCGCACGGGUGCGUAAUGCGCAGGUAAUCUACCUUACAGACGGAAAUAACACUUCCAACGAGGUGCUAAUGUCCGAUGUUGCAAUUAGUUCGCAUGAACUGAUUGUGAAACCUACGGGGGCUGUAAGAUGAGCCUGCGUCCCAUUAGGUAGUUGGAGAGGUAAAGGCUCCCCAAGCCGACGAUGGGUAGCUGGUCUGAGAGGACGAUCAGCCACACUGGAACUGAGACACGGUCCAGACUCCUACGGGAGGCAGCAGUGAGGAAUAUUGCUCAAUGGCCGCAAGGCUGAAGCAGCAACGCCGCGUGAGGGAUGAAGGAUCUAUGGUCUGUAAACCUCUGUAGAUAAGGAAAAAUAAUCCAUUAAAUGGAGAUGAUAGUACUUAUAGAGUAAGCCCCGGCUAACUACGUG